ACUGCUCAGUAACACGUGGACAACCUACCCUCAGCACGGGGAUAAACCCGGGAAACUGGGUAUAAUACCCGAUAGUUCUGGUUAGCUGGAAUGCUUCCAGGACGAAAGCUCCGGCGACUGAGGAUGGGUCUGCGGCCUAUCAGGUAGUAGUGGGUGUAAUGUACCUACUAGCCUACGACGGGUACGGGUCGUGAGAGCGAGAGCCCGGAGAUGGAUUCUGAGACACGAAUCCAGGCCCUACGGGGUGCAGCAGGCGCGAAAACUUUACAAUGCUGGCAACAGCGAUAAGGGGACCUCGAGUGCCAGGAUACAAUCUUGGCUGUCGUAAUGCCUAAAAAGCAUUGCAUAGCAAGGGCCGGGCAAGACCGGUGCCAGCCGCCGCGGUAACACCGGCGGCUCGAGUGGUAACCGCUAUUAUUGGGUCUAAAGGGUCUGUAGCCGGCCGGAUAAGUCUUUUGGGAAAUCCAGCAGCUCAACUGUUGGGCUUUCAGAAGAUACUGUUCGGCUCGAGACCGGGAGAGGUGAGAGGUACUUCAGGGGUAGGGGUGAAAUCUUGUAAUCCUUGAAGGACCACCAGUGGCGAAGGCGUCUCACCAGAACGGAUCUGACGGCAAGGGACGAAAGCUAGGGGCACGAACCGGAUUAGAUACCCGGGUAGUCCUAGCCGUAAACGAUACUCGCUAGGUGUCGGCCACGGUGCGACCGUGGUCGGUGCCGUAGGGAAGCCGUGAAGCGAGCUACCUGGGAAGUACGGCCGCAAGGCUGAAACUUAAAGGAAUUGGCGGGGGAGCAC
rnacentral:rRNA from 1 species